GAUGAACGCUGGCGGCGUGCCUAAUACAUGCAAGUCGAGCGAACGGAUUAAGAGCUUGCUCUUAUGAAGUUAGCGGCGGAAGGGUGAGUAACACGUGGGUAACCUGCCCAUAAGACUGGGAUAACUCCGGGAAACCGGGGCUAAUACCGGAUAACAUUUUGAACCGCAUGGUUCGAAAUUGAAAGGCGGCUUCGGCUGUCACUUAUGGAUGGACCCGCGUCGCAUUAGCUAGUUGGUGAGGUAACGGCUCACCAAGGCAACGAUGCGUAGCCGACCUGAGAGGGUGAUCGGCCACACUGGGACUGAGACACGGCCCAUACUCCUACGGGAGGCAGCAGUAGGGAAUCUUCCUCAAUGGACGAAAGUCUGACGGAGCAACGCCGCGUGAGUGAUGAAGUCUUUCAGGUCGUAAAACUCCGUUGUUAGGGAAGAACAAGUGCUAGUUGAAUAAGCUGGCACCUUGACGGUACCUAACCAGAAAGCCACGGCUAACUACGUGCCAGCCGCCGCUGUAA
rnacentral:rRNA from 1 species